UCCUACGGGAGGCAGCAGUGGGGAAUUUUCCGCAAUGGGCGAAAGCCUGACGGAGCAAUACCGCGUGAGGGAUGACUGCCUAUGGGUUGUAAACCUCUUUUUUCAGGGAGGAAUCAAUGACGUGUACCUGAAGAAUAAGCAUCGGCUAACUCCGUGCCAGCAGCCGCGGUAAUA
rnacentral:rRNA from 1 species